ACAGAACCAGGCCAACUCCAGGAUGGAGGAGUCCAUGACCCCUGACCUCUUCCACUCCCACAACCACCCGGAGAGGAUGAUCCGGAAGAUGGAACAGUACGUGGAGAAGAGGCAGCUCUGUGAUGUCACCCUCAUCGUCGGCAGCAAGCGGAUCCCUGCCCACAGGCUGGUCCUCAGUGCCGCCUCCGACUACUUUGCAGCGAUGUUCAUGAACGAUGUAAAGGAGGCAUCCAUGGAAGAAAUCCGGAUGAAGGACGUGGAUCCGGAUGCCAUGGUAGCCAUUGUCAACUAUGCUUACACAGGUAAGAUCUCCUUACAAGAGGACACAGUGGAGAACCUGCUAUCCACGGCCUGUCUCCUACAGCUAUCCGAGGUGGUGGAGGCGUGCUGUAGCUUCCUCAUGAAGCAGCUCCACCCCUCCAACUGUAUCGGCAUCCGCCAGUUCGCCGACGCUCAGGGAUGCUCCAACUUGUACAAAGUCGCCAACACAUAUCUCAUGGAUAAUUUUGUUCAAGUAAUGCACAAUCAGGAAUUUUUGAUACUGCCUGCAGAGGAAGUAUGUCGUCUGCUCGCCAGUGAUGACCUCAAUGUACCAGAUGAAGAAACUAUUUUCCAAGCCUUGGUGAUGUGGGCGAAACAUGAUCUGUCUAACAGAAAGAAAUAUUUAGCCAAACUACUUUCCCACAUCAAACUGCCUCUAAUGUCCCCACAGGGGCCACAACUAUAGAGAAAUAUGACCUGCGCACAAAUUCAUGGACCCAAGUGGCAAACAUGAGUGGGCGACGUCUUCAGUUUGGUGUGGCCGUCAUUGAAGACAAACUCUACAUCGUGGGUGGGAGAGACGGACUCAAAACACUGAACACGGUGGAGUGCUUUGAUCCAAAGAAAAAGUCUUGGAAUCUCAUGCCCCCCAUGUCCACCCACAGGCACGGACUGGGGGUGGGGGUCCUGGAGGGACCGAUGUAUGCAGUCGGAGGACACGACGGCUGGUCUUACCUGAACACAGUGGAGCGAUGGGACCCCCAGGCCAGGCAGUGGAGCUUUGUUGCCCCAAUGUCCACCUCAAGGAGCACUGUCGGAGUUGCUGUGCUGAUGGGAAAACUUUAUGCAGUGGGAGGAAGGGAUGGCAGCUCUUGUUUAAAGACAGUGGAGUGUUUUGACCCCCACACAAACAAAUGGCUACACUGCAGUCCCAUGUCAAAGAGGAGGGGAGGAGUUGGUGUGGCCACAUGUAAUGGUUUCCUGUAUGCAGUUGGGGGUCAUGAGGCACCUGCUUCAAACCCAUCAUGCUGCAGAUUUGACUGUGCCGAAAGGUAUGACCCAAAAACGGACCAGUGGACCAUGAUUGCCAACAUCAGUUCCCCCAGGGAUGCAGUGGGGGUGUGUAUUCUGGGGGAGAGAGUGUUUGCUGUUGGCGGAUAUGAUGGUCAGCAUUACCUCCAAGACGUGGAGUCAUAUGACCCAGUCACAAAUGAAUGGUCCAAGAUGGCAACCCUAUGCACUGGCCGAGCAGGGGCAUGUGUGGUCCAUGUUCCAAACAGUUGACAUAAAAGGAAAUGGUCGCUAGCCUCCUUGAGGAAGUGGCCAUCGGGAUUUUUCCGCCGCAAAAACAAAAAUCAGGACCGACAUAUGAUUGUGUGAAGGGUUUCAGAGAAACUGAUCAAUCUGGUAUAGCAUCACUUGGUGCCACAGUCCACAUAUCAACCAGGUGCUAGUAGACUGGCCAAGUCUUUCCAGUAAAUGCCAUAGAAGUCAAUGCAACCGAUAGCAUUUGACUGUGAACCAAAUUGUCUCUUUACAAACUGUGAUAGUAACAUAAACAAAAAAAGCCUUUUAUACGGAAGAUCUUUGACCUUAAAAAGCAGCUUUUGUUCUCCAUUCGUACGAGAAAUCAUGUCUUAAAAAAAAAAUUGUGUAAAAUAUACAUUACAUGUACAAAUUACUGAUUAAGUAUUGUACAUUACUGUAUAUUAACAGAGAUUGUCAAUUAUUUCAGUGCUAAUGUUUGUGUAAAUAUCAUUAAUGUCUCCAAAUGUACAGUUCAUUUUUUAAUUCGAUAUUUUCUGUUGAGAUGGGUAGUUCCGUUAGUUGUUUUGGGUGUAUAUAUAUGUAUGAAAUGUUUUGUGUGUUUGAUUCUUGUGAAGUAUUACUCUCUAUGAGAUGGUGUUAAUGUUUCGUGCAAUAAGCUUUCCUGUAUCCUUAAAAAAGUGCACAGCUGGCCUCAUUGUUUGGUUGUCUCGAAUUGUUUAAGUUAGUUUCCUAUAGAAAAGAAACAAAGCCUCUAAUGAUUGGUUGUAAGGUGUACUUUUAAAAAGUAAAACACAUUCUGAUUGGUUGUAAAGUAUUAAUCACAUACCAAUAACUCUUAAUAUCUUAUAUAACCUAAUGCUUCAUUGGAUACACCGCAUGGAAAACAGGACUGUGUAUGCUUGCAGUGAGAUCUUUAAUUUUUGCAAGAGUUAAUUUUCUUGAUUAAAGAAAGAUUUGAGGAUUUUUGGCAUUUUACAAUUUGUUACUCGGUUUAAGUCAGGAAAAAAGUUAACGUAUUAAAGCCCUGAAUAAUAUGCCAUGUUUUAUGGAGGAGGAAAAUGAAUCCCAAAGGAAUAUUUUUGAUUUCACAGCAUUUACCAGGUGGAUAUUAGCAGAAAGCAAAGGGCAUUAUUAAUGAGCUUUAUCCUUUAAAUCUAAUUAAUUUCUGUACAGUUCUAAAUGUUGUGUGUAUUAGAGAAAGUACUAGUAUGCUUUGUACUAUUUAGUAGUUGCCCAACUGCUUGCCCUGCAUACCUAGUACAUGUAUUGAGUGUUUUGUUGGUGGGUUUUUUUUUCAAAUAUGACCUUGCAUGUGAAUCAGGUUUUUUUUAUAUUUUGUAGAACAUGUUCAUCAGUUUGUUAGAGAUGUUACACAUUUUUUGUAAGUAAUUAUGGACCAAUCAUAACACUCAUUAGGCAUUUUUUGUAAAUAACAUUAUUCUUAUUGCUCACACCAUACCAAAACAUUUCUACAUCGAAAACCUGUCUUCCGUAUCUCUCUCACUCUCCAUCAUACAGUUCAAUUUUUAAAGUGCUAGUCAAGAUACAAACCAGGAACAUUUACUUUUGAAUCAAUGAAAGCAGUUAUCAUAUGGAGAAACUCCAGAAGUAAUUGUUACAUUGAUUCAUAUAAAUCAUGAAAAAAAAAAAUCUUUCACUAAGGAAACAAAGUGUUUGUUGAUUUUUGGUGAAUAAUCACGUUAUCUUCAAUGUGCUGUGUAAAUAUUGUCAAUCACUGAUCUUUCUUUUUUUAUUGAUAACCAUAUUUUGUACACUCUGAAAAAAAAAUAAACUUGAAAAACAAAACUAUG
rnacentral:misc_RNA from 1 species